UACGUAGGGCGCAAGCGUUAUCCGGAAUUAUUGGGCGUAAAGAGCUCGUAGGCGGUUCCGUAAGUCAGAUGUGAAAACUCAGGGCUCAACCCGGAGACGCCAUCUGAUACUGCGGUGACUGGAGUCUGGUAGGGGAACACGGAAUUCCUGGUGUAGCGGUGAAAUGCGCAGAUAUCAGGAGGAACACCGGUGGCGAAGGCGGAUCUCUGGGCCGAUACUGACGCUGAGGAGCGAAAGCGUGGGGAGCGAACAGG
rnacentral:rRNA from 1 species